GAUGAACGCUGGCGGCGUGCCUAAUACAUGCAAGUCGAACGAGGUGCUUUUGUAGCAAUACGAGAGUAUCCUAGUGGCGAACGGGUGAGUAACGCGUGGAUGACCUGCCCCAAAGUGUGGGAUAACAGUCCGAAAGGAUUGCUAAUACCUCAUGUGGUUAUCGGUUUUAGAAAGCGAUAACUAAAGCAGACAAUGCGUCGUUUGGGGAGGGAUCUGCCGUCCCAUCAGCUAGUUGGUGAGGUAACGGCUCACCAAGGCGACGGACGGGUACGGGACCUGAGGAGGGUCCGGCCCCCCAACAAGUAGGAACUAGAAAC
rnacentral:rRNA from 1 species